UACGAAGGGGGCUAGCGUUGUUCGGAAUUACUGGGCGUAAAGCGCACGAGGCGGAUUGUUAAGUUAGGGGUGAAAUCCCAGGGCUCAACCCUGGAACUGCCUUUAAUACUGGCAAUCUCGAGUCCGAGAGAGGUGAGUGGAAUUCCGAGUGUAGAGGUGAAAUUCGUAGAUAUUCGGAGGAACACCAGUGGCGAAGGCGGCUCACUGGCUCGGUACUGACGCUGAGGUGCGAAAGCGUGGG
rnacentral:rRNA from 1 species